CACACCUAUGAUGCCGGCGUCAUCUGUUCAGAUCCACUUCAGAAAGCCAUCAUUUCCCUGAAGCCAGAUUCCCGGUUCUUUGUGAGAGGGGAAAGCGCUCAGAUCUCAUGUUCUGGGAAUUAUCCAGGCAGCAUAUUCUCUUUAUAUAUAGACGGCAAGUUUUUCACAUCACGGACAGCUCCGGAAAACAUCCAAACGGCAAAUUUCGCCCUAUCGGAUUUCAGUGCAGGAAAUUACACGUGUAAAUAUACUACACAUAUAGACGGACGAAAGUUCACAUCCCCAGAGAGUGAAGGAGUGGGAAUCUAUUUGUGGGAACCGCUCCAGAAACCCACCAUUUCCCUGAAGCCAGAUUCACGGGUGUUUGUGAGAGGGGAAAGCGCUGAGAUCUCAUGUUCUGGAAAUUAUCCAGGCAGUAAUUUCUCUUUAUACAGAGAAGGGAAGUUGAUCUCAUCACAGUCGGCUCCUGAGAAUAACAACACGGCAACAUUCGCCCCAUCGGAGAUCAGUGCAGGAAAUUAUUGGUGUAAAUAUGC